GUACUAGUCUAAGGUCAACACGUGGGUAACCUACCUAUAAGACUGGGAUAACUCCGGGAAACCGGGGCUAAUACCGGAUAAUUGAACCGCAUGGUUCAAUAGUGAAAGACGGUUUCGGCUGUCACUUAUAGAUGGACCCGCGCCGUAUUAGCUAGUUGGUAAGGUAAGUAGCUAGCGGCUUACCAAGGCGACGAUACGUAGCCGACCUGAGAGGGUGAUCGGCCACACUGGAACUGAGACACGGUCCAGACUCCUACGGGAGGCAGCAGUAGGGAAUCUUCCGCAAUGGGAAAGCCUGACGGAGCAACGCCGCGUACUGGUAUUCAAAGUGAGUGAUGAAGGUCUUCGGAUCGUAAAACUCUGUUGUUAGGGAAGAACAAAUUUGUUAGUAACUGAACAAGUCUUGACGGUACCUAACCAGAAAGCCACGGCUAACUACGUGCCAGCAGCCGCGGUUACGUAGGUGUACUAGGCAAGCGUUAUCCGGAAUUAUUGGGCGUAAAGCGCGCGUAGGCGGUUUCUUAAGUCUGAUGUGAAAGCCCACGGCUCAACCGUGGAGGGUCAUUGGAAACUGGGACUUGAGUGCAGAAGAGGAGAGUGGAACCAUGUGUAGCGUGCGCAGAGAUAUGGAGGAACACCAGUGGCGAAGGCGGCUCUCUGGUCUGUAACUGACGCUGAUGUGCGAAAGCGUGGGGAUCAAACAGGAUUAGAUACCCUGGUAGUCCACGCCGUAAACGAUGAGUGCUAGUUAGGGGGUUUCCGCCCCUUAGUGCUGCAGCUAACGCAUUAAGCACUCCGCCUGGGGAGGUACGCUAUACGACCGCAAGGUUGAAACUCAAAGGAAUUGACGGGGACCCGCACAAGCGGUGGAGCAUGUGGUUUAAUUCGAACGCGAAGAACCUUACCAAAUCUUGACAUCCUUUGACCGCUCUGUUCCAUUCGAUCGUACGUAG
rnacentral:rRNA from 2 species